GGAUGCGAUCAUACCAGCACUAAAGCACCGGAUCCCAUCAGAACUCCGAAGUUAAGCGUGCUUGGGCGAGAGUAGUACUAGGAUGGGUGACCUCCUGGGAAGUCCUCGUGUUAGUAGUAC
rnacentral:rRNA from 1 species